AGAUUGAACGCUAGCGGGAUGCUUUACACAUGCAAGUCGAACGGCAGCGCGGACUUCGGUCUGGCGGCGAGUGGCGAACGGGUGAGUAAUAUAUCGGAACGUGCCCAGUAGCGGGGGAUAACUACGCGAAAGCGUGGCUAAUACCGCAUACGCCCGUACGGGGGAAAGGGGGGAUCGCAAGACCUCUCACUAUUGGAGCGGCCGAUAUCAGAUUAGCUAGUUGGUGAGGUAAAGGCUCACCAAGGCGACGAUCUGUAGCUGGUUUGAGAGGACGACCAGCCACACUGGGACUGAGACACGGCCCAGACUCCUACGGG
rnacentral:rRNA from 1 species